GCCCAGACUCCUACGGGAGGCAGCCGUGGGGGAUAUUGCACAAUGGGGGGACCCCUGAUGCAGCGCCUCCUCGUGGGUGCAGCAGAGCCUCGGCGCGUCCAGCCCUGUCAUCCUGGAAGAAACUGCCGGUACCUGCCUCCUCAGCCCCGUCUCCCUACGUGCCCUCCUCCGCGGUAAUCCGUCUGGGGCAAUCUUUAUCCGGAUUUACUGGUUGUAAAGGGGGCGCAGACGGCGAUGCAAGCCAGGAGUGAAAGCCCGGGGACCAACCCCGGGACUGCUCUUGGAACUGCGUGGCUGGAGUGCAGGAGGGGCAGGCGGAAUGCCUGGUGUAGCGGUGAAAUGCGUAGAGAGAAGGAGGAACACCGGUGGCGAAGGCGGCCUGCUGGACUGCGACUGACGUUGAGGCCCGAAAGCGUGGGGAGCAAACAGGAUUAGAUACCCGUGUA
rnacentral:rRNA from 1 species